CAGUAGCCGCGGGAAUACGUAGGGUGCGAGCGUUAAUCGGAAUUACUGGGCGUAAAGCGUGCGCAGGCGGUUGUGUAAGACUGGUGUGAAAUCCCCGGGCUUAACCUGGGAACUGCGCUUGUGACUGCACAGCUAGAGUAUGGCAGAGGGGGGUGGAAUUCCACGUGUAGCAGUGAAAUGCGUAGAGAUGUGGAGGAAUACCGAUGGCGAAGGCAGCCCCCUGGGCCAAUACUGACGCUCAUGCACGAAAGCGUGGGGAGCAAACGGGAUUAGAUACCCCAGUAGUCCCUGUCUCUUAUAC
rnacentral:rRNA from 1 species